rnacentral:lncRNA from 1 species
AGGGUAUAAUAUUAAAUAUAGUGGUCAAUAUGGCCAGUUUCCAGCAAACAUGGAUUUUAGUGCGUCCCCAGAAAGUAGAUCAAGUCUUCCCGUUGUUGUAUAACUUUCUCUGUGGUUAAUCAAGUUUUUGGUGUUUGCAAUUUCAUUAGGAACCUGCCUGGAACGUCAAGGUAUUUUUGCAGGGGCUGAGAGACAACAGUCUAGAGAAAUAGGGAAAGACGGUAGUUAAAAUCCAGAUGAAGACAUUCGCCUGUAAAGAAGUACUAAGCAGGCUUGGCCGAGUGUUCACCCAGACGGGAACAAGGAAGGCUGCAGUGCUCCGAAUAUCUUUCCUACCUAAUGCCAUCUAUACCCUACUAUCACUCCUUUUAGAGAAGCAUUGCUUCCUUCAAUGGAUCCUCUUAAAAAGGCAAACUCUUCUGGGAGAGAAAACACAGACAGUUGGUACGGAUUUCGGAGUGGCUCAAUAAACACUUAUGAGCACAAUGCUAGGCACUGGGAAGUCAGCGAUUAAUAAUUUGAUCUCUCUUUUCUUCCUUGACCAGAAGAACAAGGUUAGUUGAAAAUUCUAGUCCCUGAGGAUUUGUUUCAAGGGGCUUUAUCCUCCAGAGUCCACUUUAUAAUUUUUUUUUCCAGAGCUGGGCCUGGUCCUAAGAAUCCUUCAAAGAUUCUUGAUUCCCUGGCCUACCAGAAGGUCAACAUAAAAGGGCCACCAGGGUUACCCAUCCCCAGGACCACCUGGUGCUCAUCUACCUGGAAUGGCAAGUCUUCAGUUCCUUCUGGUUCUUCCCCAAGGUUAGUCACACAGCCCAGAAUAAGAAGUCAGUCCAUUCUCCAAGCGGUAAAGGAGCUAUUUUAACCUUCUCCCCUCAUUCCAACCCCUUAUCGGUCCUCUUUUUGGGUCAGACUAGAGCAGAGGUUUGAAUGAAGCCUGGCAGAUUCUGGGAAGCCCUGAGAGCUGGAAGAUGCUGUGAGGGAUGUGGAAAGAGAGGUGUAGGGAGUAAGGUGGCUUCGCGGCUCCUCGCUUCCCCCAGAGCCCCCAUUUCCCUGGGCCUAGGGCCGCUACACACUGGUCUGAGAUCAAACACUUCCCGGUGGCCCCAGAGACAGGACUUCAGACGGCACCGCGCGCCAAUCCAAGCUGAUGCUCCUGCCAGGCGCGGGCGACCUCUGGCGUCCCGUUCAGCAAGCCAGGCGGCGGC